GGAAAUUAUGCACUAUACAGAAUUGGAUCUGGUAAGAAAGGAUCAGGAUAUGACCUGUUUGGAGAAAAGGAGAAGGAGAAAAAUGAUUAUGAUUGGUUAAAGACACCACCAGCCACUCCAUUAUUUCCAUCCUUAGAAAUGGAAGCAACCGGUGCCCCGGAAAUUGUCAUUCAAAGGGAGUUACCAAUUGUUCAACCUCUUUCAAGGUUUGCAGGCAAUUCAGGAGCACAAAAGACAAGCAACAUCGGAAGGCCAAAGACUCCAAAACCUAAACCUAAAGUCCCUCAAAGAUCAAUAACCCCUAGUCAAAGACCAAGUACUCCAACUCAAACCAAAACCACCAAAGGAACAACAAUUACGAACCAAAAAACAACACCAUUAACUAUUGAUUUAAACAACAAAAAAACAAACAUGAACACCAACAAAAA